rnacentral:rRNA from 1 species
GCAAGUCGAACGAACUCUGGUAUUGAUUGGUGCUUGCAUCAUGAUUUACAUUUGAGUGAGUGGCGAACUGGUGAGUAACACGUGGGAAACCUGCCCAGAAGCGGGGGAUAACACCUGGAAACAGAUGCUAAUACCGCAUAACAACUUGGACCGCAUGGUCCGAGUUUGAAAGAUGGCUUCGGCUAUCACUUUUGGAUGGUCCCGCGGCGUAUUAGCUAGAUGGUGGGGUAACGGCUCACCAUGGCAAUGAUACGUAGCCGACCUGAGAGGGUAAUCGGCCACAUUGGGACUGAGACACGGCCCAAACUCCUACGGGAGGCAGCAGUAGGGAAUCUUCCACAAUGGACGAAAGUCUGAUGGAGCAACGCCGCGUGAGUGAAGAAGGGUUUCGGCUCGUAAAACUCUGUUGUUAAAGAAGAACAUAUCUGAGAGUAACUGUUCAGGUAUUGACGGUAUUUAACCAGAAAGCCACGGCUAACUACGUGCCAGCAGCCGCGGUAAUACGUAGGUGGCAAGCGUUGUCCGGAUUUAUUGGGCGUAAAGCGAGCGCAGGCGGUUUUUUAAGUCUGAUGUGAAAGCCUUCGGCUCAACCGAAGAAGUGCAUCGGAAACUGGGAAACUUGAGUGCAGAAGAGGACAGUGGAACUCCAUGUGUAGCGGUGAAAUGCGUAGAUAUAUGGAAGAACACCAGUGGCGAAGGCGGCUGUCUGGUCUGUAACUGACGCUGAGGCUCGAAAGUAUGGGUAGCAAACAGGAUUAGAUACCCUGGUAGUCCAUACCGUAAACGAUGAAUGCUAAGUGUUGGAGGGUUUCCGCCCUUCAGUGCUGCAGCUAACGCAUUAAGCAUUCCGCCUGGGGAGUACGGCCGCAAGGCUGAAACUCAAAGGAAUUGACGGGGGCCCGCACAAGCGGUGGAGCAUGUGGUUUAAUUCGAAGCUACGCGAAGAACCUUACCAGGUCUUGACAUACUAUGCAAAUCUAAGAGAUUAGACGUUCCCUUCGGGGACAUGGAUACAGGUGGUGCAUGGUUGUCGUCAGCUCGUGUCGUGAGAUGUUGGGUUAAGUCCCGCAACGAGCGCAACCCUUAUUAUCAGUUGCCAGCAUUAAGUUGGGCACUCUGGUGAGACUGCCGGUGACAAACCGGAGGAAGGUGGGGAUGACGUCAAAUCAUCAUGCCCCUUAUGACCUGGGCUACACACGUGCUACAAUGGAUGGUACAACGAGUUGCGAACUCGCGAGAGUAAGCUAAUCUCUUAAAGCCAUUCUCAGUUCGGAUUGUAGGCUGCAACUCGCCUACAUGAAGUCGGAAUCGCUAGUAAUCGCGGAUCAGCAUGCCGCGGUGAAUACGUUCCCGGGCCUUGUACACACCGCCCGUCACACCAUGAGAGUUUGUAACACCCAAAGUCGGUGGGGUAACCUUUUAGGAACCAGCCGC